CUGCCGCGUGUGUGAAGAAGGCCUUCGGGUUGUAAAGCACUUUCGGCCGGAACGAAAUCGCGCGGGCUAACACUCCGCGUGGAUGACGGUACCGGAAGAAGAAGCACCGGCUAACUACGUGCCAGCAGCCGACGGUAAUACGUAGGGUGCGAGCGUUAAUCGGAAUUACUGGGCGUAAAGUGUGCGCAGGUGGCCGCGCAAGUCGAGUGUGAAAGCCCCGGGCUUAACUUGGGAAUUGCGCUCGAAACUACGUGGCUAGAGUGUGGCAGAGGAAGGUGGAAUUCCACGUGUAGCGGUGAAAUGCGUAGAGAUGUGGAGGAACACCGAUGGCGAAGGCAGCCUUCUGGGCCAACACUGACGCUCAUGCACGAAAGCGUGGGGAGCAAACAGGAUUAGAUACCCUGGUAGUCCACGCCCUAAACGAUGAUGACUAGUUGUUGGGGGAGUUAAAUCCCUUAGUAACGCAGCUAACGCGUGAAGUCAUCCGCCUGGGGAGUACGGUCGCAAGAUUA
rnacentral:rRNA from 1 species